GAUGAAGAACGUAGCUAAAUGCGAUAAGUAAUGUGAAUUGCAGAAUUCAGUGAAUCAUCGAGUCUUUGAACGCACAUUGCGCCCCCUGGUAUUCCGGGGGGCAUGCCUGUCCGAGCGUCAUUGCUGCCCUCAAGCACGGCUUGUGUGUUGGGCCUCCGUCCUCCUCCCGGGGGACGGGCCCGAAAGGCAGCGGCGGCACCGCGUCCGGUCCUCGAGCGUAUGGGGCUUCGUCACCCGCUCUUGUAGGCCCGGCCGGCGCUUGCCGACACAUCAAUCUUUUUUCCAGGUUGACCUCGGAUCAGGUAGGGAUACCCGCUGAACUUAAGCAUAUCAAUAAGCGGAGGA
rnacentral:misc_RNA from 1 species